rnacentral:rRNA from 1 species
UACAGAGGGGGCAAGCGUUGUUCGGAAUUACUGGGCGUAAAGGGCGCGUAGGCGGCCCUCUAAGUCGAACGUGAAAUCCCUGGGCUCAACCCAGGAACUGCGUCCGAGACUGGGGGGCUAGAAUCCGGGAGAGGGAUGUGGAAUUCCAGGUGUAGCGGUGAAAUGCGUAGAUAUCUGGAGGAACAUCGGUGGCGAAGGCGGCAUCCUGGACCGGUAUUGACGCUGAGGCGCGAAAGCGUGGGGAGCGAACAGG